UACGUGACUCACUGACUGGACCCGACAGGCGUAGAAAAAGCAGAGAGGAGAAGAAAGUGCAGAAACAUUUAGCUUUACUCCUGUUACACGGUGUUUGCAGUAACAGCUGUAGAUCUAGCAACUGUCAUCUAUUACUAGAUUAUUUAUCGCAAUGCAAUGGCAACUGCUUUGAAGAUAUUGUUUUAUUUUGGGCAAUAAAUCUACUCGCAGAGUGAAUUGCACUGCACUUUAACCUCUGAGAAAGUGAAGUGGAAGAGCUCUGGCUGUUCGACUGUAUUGUUUGUCUCAAUUUUGGAGAGCAGGUGUUAUGGAUCUACAGUAUUUCCUGAGCUGGAAAGUUGCCCUGCUGCUUCUCAUGGUGCCAUGUGGGCUCCAGUGUAUGUCAGUGCACAUCCUCACUGAGGAGCCCGUGCAUGCGAUGCCAGACUCCAGUCCGCUUCUGAAAGCUCUGAUCGAGCAUGGACCCCUGGAAGAGGUCUCUGUGGUAACCUGGGAGUGGGAGCCCGAAACUGGAAUCUCCCCCAAGAGAGGCACACUGGCCACGUGCUCUGGCACAAGCCUCAAGUGUGUCGGCACGAGGCCAAACGUCCAUGUGCAUGUGGAUCAGCGGGAGACGACACUUCAGAUUAAUGGAUACAGCGGAGCAGACAGCGGCGUGUACAUUGUGACUGUGACGGAUCACAAAAGAGCCAAAACCACCGCACAAUGCAUCGUCAGGAGAUAUGAGGCAGUGCACCACGUCUCAGUCAGCGUCAACACGUCUCACUCCACGCUGGUUUGCGGCGAGGCCUGGGGCACAGACCCCCACUUCAGCUGGCUCCAUGAAAGAGUCGCCAUCACCGAGACUGUGGGAAGCGUCUCCAAAGAUGGAACGACAUUGUUUGUGACCAAGACUCCCAUCUGUGGCCACUUCACCUGCAUGGUCAGCAACAAGCUGGGCCACAGUUCUGCCACCUACACUGCAGCACCUUGUGAGACAGAGGGCAGAGGGACAACAGUGGCUGUAGUGUGUCCCAUCCUCCUGCUGCUGUUUGGAGGAGUGCUGGCGUUUCUGCUGUUGAGGCGACACCGGCACAACAGAGGAGAGAGGCUGCACGAACUUUUGGAUGACACCAUCUAAAAAAAAACAGGCCAAAGAUACACGUCUGCUACUCAGAGAGGAGAACAGGAAAUGGACUAGAGCGUGAGGCUCGAACUUCAUGUCCUGUGAGCAGUAUGACCUUACACUGCAUUGGAACAAUGUGACGAGCGGCAAAUGAAAAUAAAUCCUAAAAUGGAUAUUAAGCAUGAAGUGCCAGCAAUGUCUUCACACUGCCUCCUGCUGGGCUGCACCUGACACUGUAUUUUGUUUUGUAAGCUUGAUUUUGAAAUGUACCUUUAUAAUAAAACCCCUUCACAGAAUGUGACAAAACUCAGCUGUUAUUUGAAAGAAGGUUUAAAAAUAGUUUUGACGGCGCUCGAACUGUAUAAGGAGGGAGUUGUGUACGAUCUACAAU
rnacentral:lncRNA from 1 species